rnacentral:miRNA from 12 species
UGUAUGUAUGUGUGUAUAUGCAUACAUUGUGUAUGUGUAUAUUAUUACAUGCAUAUACGUGUGUAUAUA